CCUACGGGAGGCAGCAGUAGGGAAUAUUGCACAAUGGGGGAAACCCUGAAGCAGCAACGCCGCGUGGAGGAUGAAGGUUUUCGGAUUGUAAACUCCUGUUGUUAGAGAAGAUAAUGACGGUAUCUAACGAAUAAGCACCGGCUAACUCCGUGCCAGAAGCCGCGGUAAUACGGAGGGUGCAAGCGUUACUCGGAAUCACGGGGCGUAAAGGGCCCGUAGGCGGGAUAGCAAGUCAGAUGUGAAAUCCUAUGGCUUAACCAUAGAACUGCAUUUGAAACUGUUAUUCUAGAGUAUGGUAGAGGUGGGUGGAAUUCUUUGUGUAGGGGUAAAAUCCGUAGAGAUCAAGAGGAAUACUCAUUGCGAAGGCGACCUGCUAGAACAUAACUGACGCUGAUGCGUGAAAGCGUGGGGAGCAAACAGGAUUAGAUACCCGGGUAGUC
rnacentral:rRNA from 1 species